rnacentral:tmRNA from 2 species
GGGGAUGACUGGUUUCGACUUGGAAUGGUUGUUCCAGGAGAAGCGGGCCGAGGACCCAGGGUCAACUCGUUAACGAUCCUUGGAAACCUAUAAGUGCCGAGAACACUCGCACUGACUUCGCUCUCGCUGCCUGAUCAGUGAUCGAAGGGUCAGCCCGGAUGUAGCCUUCCGUCCGGAUCCUGGCCUCGUUUAGAAGGCUUGCCGUACAGCUGUGGUCACGGGGGCUGUACGGGACGUUUCCGUGACUGGGCUUGUCUGCACCAUGUCGGUGUGAGUGCAGGAGCCG